rnacentral:rRNA from 1 species
AUUGAACGCUGGCGGCAUGCCUUACACAUGCAAGUCGAACGGUAACAGGUCUUCGGAUGCUGACGAGUGGCGAACGGGGGAGUAAUACAUCGGAACGUGCCUAGUAGUGGGGGAUAACUACUCGAAAGAGUGGCUAAUACCGCAUGCGAUAUACCGAUGAAAGCAGGGGAUCGCAAGACGUUGUGCUACUAGAGCGGCCGGUGGCAGAUUAGGUAGUUGGGGGGAUAAAAGCUUACCAAGCCGACGAUCCGUAGCUGGUCGGAGAGGACGAUCAGCCACACUGGGACUGAGACACGGCCCAGACUCCUACGGGAGGCAGCAGUGGGGAAUUUUGGACAAUGGGCGCAAGCCUGAUCCAGCAAUGCCGCGUGCAGGAUGAAGGCCUUCGGGUUGUAAACUGCCUUUGUACGGAACGAAAAGCCCUGGGUUAAUACCCUGGGGUCAUGACGGUACCGUAAGAAUAAGCACCGGCUAACUACGUGCCAGCCGCCGCGGUAA